AGGACAUCAUGAAAUUGUUGCCUCUGAUUGGUGGCUACUCAGGAAGAAGGUCAAGCAUAAUUCAAGAAGAAUGUCCUGUUCACUGCAAAUACCAUUUGGAGGAAUUAUGUUAACUCACGUACCACCUCUAAUGAACAGUUGCGCAGCUGCAUGCAGAGUGACUUGAGGGAGGUGACGAAGUUAAAGGUGAGGGGAAUGUGAAAGCUCUUAUACAGUUUUGGUGUACCUUGUGACUGAGGUUCCUCUGAAAUUCCGGCUCACCAGAGGGAGGUAGUCCGUCACGGAUAUAAAGAUAAACGUCUUUGCACUCUGGAUGACUUGAUAGAUGGCGUCUACAUCUCUGGUGCGAUCUUUAGAGCAGAAGA